GGUAUCUACCCUUUGGCCUGGAAUAACACGAGGAAACUUGUGCUAAUACCGGAUAAGUCUUACGGAGAAAGCUUUAUGCACCAUUGGAUGAGCCUGCACUUGAUUAGUUUGUUGGUGGGGUAAUGGCCUACCAAGACUGUGAUCAAUAGCUGAUUUGAGAGGAUGAUCAGCCACAUUGGGACUGAGACACGGCCCAAACUCCUACGGGAGGCAGCAGUGGGGAAUCUUGCACAAUGGAGGAAACUCUGAUGCAGCGAUGCCGCGUGAGUGAAGAAGGCCUUUGGGUUGUAAAGCUCUUUCGUCGGGGAAGAAAAUGACCGUACCCGAAUAAGAAGGUCCGGCUAACUUCGUGCCAGCAGCCGCGGUAAUACGAAGGGACCUAGCGUAGUUCGGAAUUACUGGGCUUAAAGAGUUCGUAGGUGGUUGAAAAAGUUAGUGGUGAAAUCCCAGAGCUUAACUCUGGAACUGCCAUUAAAACUUUU
rnacentral:rRNA from 1 species